rnacentral:lncRNA from 1 species
AGAAGGACCGGACAUCUUUUAUCGUGUAAAGAAUAUAUGAAAAAUCUGAAAAGUUCUAUUCCACAACUACAUUGAGCAUUAGUUUCUGAUUAAAUUUUAAUAAAAAUAUACUGAAUUUGUAAAUUGAUUACUACUAGUACUAGUCAUAUCCAUAUCUGGAAAAUACAGGACCAAUCGCAAUAACUUUUAAAAAGAGCAUAACAUUUAGAGAUGAUUAACUUCACCUAAAUAAAACAAAUACAGUUAACUGAAAUAUGAAAAAAAAAAUCUUAGUAAGAUGGAUGCAAGUCAAAUUGAAAGUCGGUGGGAAACUGUUUGAUCACUUUCAUAUGAUCACGACUGAAUCAAUAAA